AAAAGUUUUAUUCUUGCUUAAUUAUUUAUUUGAACAUUAUUAUAUAUGUAAGUUAUUGCGUGUAUUAUUUGUUCUUAAUGAGAAUUUAAUAUUGUAGUUGUUGCAGUAUAGAAUAUUAUAAAUUUAAGUAAUUUUGAUUUAGUAAUUGUUAAUUAAUAUUGAUUAACCAUGUGCCAGCAAUCGCGGUUAUACAUGAAAUAUAAGUAAAUAAUGUUAGUUAAAGUAGUUAAUUGUUGAAUAUGUUGAAUUUAAAUUGAUUAUUAUUGGGUGAAAUAUUUAAUUUUUGUUUAUGGUUUAUAAUGUUGAUUAAAUGAAGCUGUGAAAUCUAAUAUAUUUAAACUAGGAUUAGAUACCCUAUUAUUUUGGAUGUAAAAUAUUUAAACUUGAGUAGUAAUAGAUAAGGUCUUGAAACUUAAAGAAUUUGGCGGUAUUUUAGUCUAUUUAGAGGAAUCUGUCCCGUAAUCGAUAAUCCGCGUUGGACCUUACUUAAUUUAAAUUAAUAUGUAUACCGCCGUUGUUGAAAAUCUUUUUAGAGUGAAAUUUUUUUAAAAUUUGUUAAAUAAUUUUUCAGGUCAAGGUGCAGUUUAUAAUUAAGUGGUGAUGGAUUACAAUAUUUUAUUAGUAUAUGGAUUAUAACUUGGAAGGAGUAUAUAUGAAGGUGGAUUUAAUAGUAAUAUUAUAAAGAUUAUUAAUAUGGUUUUAGCUCUAAAAUAUGCACACAUCGCCCGUCGCUCUCGUUAUAUUUAAGGUGAGAUAAGUCGUAACAUAGUAGUUGUACCGGAAGGUGUAACUAGAAUGAAU
rnacentral:ncRNA from 1 species